UGAGCCGCACCCUCUGCCAGGGGGCCCUGAAGCCCCCAGCCUGCCAGGGAAGCUCCCAGACUGAGCACACAGGAGCGGCUGGGCCAAGGUUGGUCCCUAGACACUGUCAGGUGUGCCAUGAUCCCCACUGCAACCAGGAAGGAGUUCCCAGACACAAACACCAACCAUGGAUGAGACUUCCAGAGACUUGUUGAAAUAUCUUACUCCUGGAUCUGCUCUUGGUGUGGGGAUAGCUCCAUAGAAGGGUGGAGUGACCAGAUAUCCUAAGUUUAUCAUGGAAGACCUGAAAUUCCUUCAUCAUGGUGAAUGGGACAGUUGAUCAUCCUCAUUGACGGCUACCUGUGGUCCCAGACCUUAAGACAGGCCAGUUCAUGGAGGAGCUACCCUUACCCAACUCACGAAGGCUCCCACCUUCAAGGCAUUGGACAAUUAAAAGGACUCAAGGACUCAGGUCCCAACAGCAGCAACUCGGGCCCUGUCACUAUGACAAUCCUGACCUGGACCAGCUUCUUGUGUUCUCCCAGAAUAGCCCAAGAGGCAGUCUCCAGGCUACUGGCACAGAUGCUCCAGUCUUCUAGAAGAAACUCCACAUCAGCACCAACACCAUCAUCCACCCAGCAGAGACAAGAAUUCAGUGUUCACAGAAGAUGCCAGAGCGUAUGCAAUCCUUAAAUAGAUUUAUGGAAAUGGUUUCGAAUUACAGCAUUUAGAAAAUAAAAAUAAUCUCAAUACAUAA